CGAACGCUGGCGGCGUGCCUAAUACAUGCAAGUCGUGCGGACCUUUUAAAAGCUUGCUUUUAAAAGGUUAGCGGCGGACGGGUGAGUAACACGUGGGCAACCUGCCUGUAAGACUGGGAUAACGCCGGGAAACCGGGGCUAAUACCAGAUCGUUUUUUCCUCCGCAUGGAGGAAAAAGGAAAGGCGGCUUCGGCUGCCACUUACAGAUGGGCCCGCGGCGCAUUAGCUAGUUGGCGGGGUAACGGCCCACCAAGGCAACGAUGCGUAGCCGACCUGAGAGGGUGAUCGGCCACAUUGGGACUGAGACACGGCCCAAACUCCUACGGGAGGCAGCAGUAGGGAAUCUUCCGCAAUGGACGAAAGUCUGACGGAGCAACGCCGCGUGAGUGAAGAAGGCCUUCGGGUCGUAAAACUCUGUUGCCGGGGAAGAACAAGUGCCGUUCGAACAGGGCGGCGCCUUGACGGUACCCGGCCAGAAAGCCACGGCUAACUACGUG
rnacentral:rRNA from 1 species